UUACCCUUAUUAUUCUGUUGAUAUAUAGCUUAGUCGGUUUACAUGGUUCAGUUUUGUUUUAUUAUCUGAAUAUCUGAGUUUUCAGUUGGUUUUGGAAUGUAUUAAAGGAAUUGUGUUUUUGAAAAAUAAAAGGUUUUCUACCCCUCGUGGUAGCGUUUUUUAAAAGAUAAAAGUUCCCGUGUAGGGAACAGUUUUCAAAAGAUUUUCUGUGGUUUUGUAUCUUAGUCUUUCAAAACUUGUUUCCGGGUAGAAAACGUUUCAAAUGAUAGAUCUGGAUUUAUGUUUAAAACUAUGAAUACCGUCGUGUUGUGAAUGGUGAAUGUAUGGACGUCUGUAUGUGCGGUUGAGGUUGUAUGUUCAUAUGGUUGUGGUUGUAUUCUGGUUGUACUCUGGUUGUAUAAUUGUACUUGUGCGACGCCGUGCAAAUACAGGGGAGACUCUGUUCGUGUGAACAGUGGAUUCCCUGUAUUUGUGGCGGAUCUGACAUACUUUGGGGUCAGGUGUUUCAAAAAGAAAAUUUAGUUGUUUCCGCUAUUUUU
rnacentral:lncRNA from 1 species